ACCAAAAAAUGGUGCAAGUGUCAUUUGAGAAUUGUGAGAUGAGGGUCGUGUUUUGGUUCAUAAUAUGAUUUAUUCAUGAUGUAAAUAAAAUGCGAAAACAGUGUUAUAAAUUAAAAAAUAAAAAAAUUCUAUAUAAUGACUAUAAGUUUAAAGUGAAGAGUGUUUUUCGAAGUGAAUUUUGUUUAGUUUAGAUACGUAGUUCACGUAAAGCACCAAAAUGCAUAAAUACUACCUGUCAUUGCUGCUGGUGCGGUUGGUGCUGCCAGCAGCAUUUCUUUUAAGUAUAGCACUACGACCGUUUGGCCUCUCCCUUAUAUACCUCCUUCUCUACUUAAUAGCACCAUUCCCUCAAGUUCCUGACUCCAAAACGUUUAAAGG